UUGGGGACGGACGUGUUUUAAUCAUUACAGCAUCUACAGACAACAGUUCUUUUUUCUGCAAGGCUCAAAAUCAUCUUGGAGCUGGACUUUCCAGCGUCACUUAUGUAGAAGUUCAAGGUCCUGAGUGUCAUCAUGGACCAUACAGAGCUCUUCUCGCGGCUGUUGCUGGUGUAUCUCUCACUGUCAAUGUCUUGUGCACAGGCUACAUGGUGUUCCUUUGGAGAGCCAGGCAGAACGGGAAGCCAAAAGAAGAGGAAAGAACGUACACGUCAUUGAACCGUAGAGCCCAAUCUCCAGAGUAUGAUGUCAUUGCCCAAAUUCCCAGAUGAUGAUUAUGUACACUUCCACUGAUGAUGACCAUGAUAAGUAUCAUAUAACUAUACUUAAGUAUUUCAUGGAAUUUUUGAAUUGAGGCAAAUAAGAAUAUUGAUAUGAGCAUUUCUAAAUCAAUUUCCUCCGAGGAGCUGGACACAAAACAGACCACUUGUCAAUGUAUUUUCACUACUUUGUCGAUGAAGCGUUUAAUGCUCCUUUUGGGGUUAUCAUCAUCAGAGGUAUUAGGGAGUGCCAUGUGGUCAUUUUCGAGUCGCCGAUUUUAUUUUCCACUUCUGUUGAUAUUCAAGCUCUCCUGAUCAAGCGCAGUGUGUCUUAUUUAGAACAGACAGUUCAUUUCAAAUAAAGAGCUAUUAAUGUAUUUCUCAUGGUUUAAUUCAUAGGAUAUAACAAAAGCAUGUGAAGCCAAAUUAAGAGGGCAGGAUUUAGGUGAAACUAGAUCAAAAAGACCAGUCUCAGGGGUUUAGUGUAAUCACACAAUGACUGUCAACGUCAAAUACGUGUUUUGACGCUUGACAAUUAUACCGAUUCAAAAAAAAAAAAUUUGGAAAAAUGUUUUAGACUAAGAAAAGAGUGGACAGCUUUGUCACUUUGCUACAAUAUGCUCCAUGCAGCAAUACUUCACACCGUCCUACCAAGAGGAAUGACAGCAUUAGUGGAGGCUUUAGCGAUUAUGACAGGAGCAAAGGAGUAAGUAAGGUGAUUUUGUUGUAGAGGUGGAGGUCUGGGUUGUUCAUAUUGUAAAAUGUAUGUGUACAUAUUACUGUGUCUAGCUCCCAUAUAUGACAAAGACAACAAUCAACAGUCCUGUAUAUCAUAAACUUUGUAUUACUGAAGUUCUCAUGGACCUUAAGGAAUACUUCACCCACAAAUGACCACUUGUGUAUAUCUGAGUCACGCCGUGGUAUCUUGAGUUUUUGAAAGAAACAUUGCUUCGCUGGCAUGCUUCCACAGAAAACAGCAAGCACAUUGAUGUAUUGAUUGAUGGGGACCACCUUUAACAACAGCAAAACUAGAUCAAAACAUCAGUUCACAAACUCUCACAAAUCAUUUGGCAUAAUAUAUAAAUCAAUAUGCUAUAAAAGGUUUCUUCAAGAAUUCAAGGUGUCACUGAAUUCAAACUGACCGAUUUACAGAUCGACAUUUUGUGGCUGAAGUAUUCCUUUAACUUAAGUUAGCAGGCUUUCAUUCAGUGUCACAAUAAAUCAUGAGACUGAAGUGCUGAUUUGAAUUAAAACGAGGAUAAACAAACAUGUUAUUUCGAUAACUACUAAAAUAUUUUUACAGCAAUUCAAAAACAUACAGGCUUGACAGCAAUUUCUGUGGUUUAAAGACUAUGUAAUUAGUUCCCUUUUGUCAUUUCUUUGUACCUUCCUGUACUUAUAAGAUGUGAAUGUUGCCAGACUUGUUUUGCACAUUUUGUUAUACAGGAAAAUGACUGUUAAUCAUCACAGUAAAGUUAACUGAAUAU